AGCGGCGGACGGGUGAGUAACACGUGGGCAACCUGCCCUGCAGACUGGGAUAACUCCGGGAAACCGGAGCUAAUACCGGGUAAUACAUCGCACCGCAUGGUGCAAUGUUGAAAGUUGGCUUUCUGAGCUAACACUGCAGGAUGGGCCCGCGGCGCAUUAGCUAGUUGGUAAGGUAAUGGCUUACCAAGGCAACGAUGCGUAGCCGACCUGAGAGGGUGAUCGGCCACACUGGGACUGAGACACGGCCCAGACUCCUACGGGAGGCAGCAGUAGGGAAUCUUCCGCAAUGGACGAAAGUCUGACGGAGCAACGCCGCGUGAGUGACGAAGGCCUUCGGGUCGUAAAGCUCUGUUGUUAGGGAAGAACAAGUACCGUUCGAAUAGGGCGGUACCUUGACGGUACCUAACCAGAAAGCCACGGCUAACUACGUGCCAGCAGCCGCGGUAAUACGUAGGUGGCAAGCGUUGUCCGGAAUUAUUGGGCGUAAAGCGCGCGCAGGCGGUCUUUUAAGUCUGAUGUGAAAGCCCACGGCUCAACCGUGGAGGGUCAUUGGAAACUGGAGGACUUGAGUGCAGAAGAGGAGAGUGGAAUUCCACGUGUAGCGGUGAAAUGCGUAGAUAUGUGGAGGAACACCAGUGGCGAAGGCGGCUCUCUGGUCUGUAACUGACGCUGAGGCGCGAAAGCGUGGGGAGCAAACAGGAUUAGAUACCCUGGUAGUCCACGCCGUAAACGAUGAGUGCUAGGUGUUGGGGGGGUUCCACCCUCAGUGCUGAAGUUAACACAUUAAGCACACUCCGCCUGGGGAGUACGACCGCAAGGUUGAAACUCAAAGGAAUUGACGGGGGCCCGCACAAGCAGUGGAGCAUGUGGUUUAAUUCGAAGCAACGCGAAGAACCUUACCAGGUCUUGACAUCCUCUGACAAUCCUGGAGACAGGACGUUCCCCUUCGGGGGACAGAGUGACAGGUGGUGCAUGGUUGUCGUCAGCUCGUGUCGUGAGAUGUUGGGUUAAGUCCCGCAACGAGCGCAACCCUUGAUCUUAGUUGCCAGCAUUCAGUUGGGCACUCUAAGGUGACUGCCGGUGACAAACCGGAGGAAGGUGGGGAUGACGUCAAAUCAUCAUGCCCCUUAUGACCUGGGCUACACACGUGCUACAAUGGACGGUACAAAGGGCAGCGACACCGCGAGGUGAAGCAAAUCCCAUAAAGCCGUUCUCAGUUCG
rnacentral:rRNA from 1 species